CACAGCUCCGCGCUCGCCUCCCCGCAGACCCAGGCCCAGUAUGGUUCUGCGGCAGCCGGCCCAGGCCCCGUGAGCCCCUCGACAGUCGUGUGAGCCCCUUGGCCCCCCGAGGAAGCGGAGCUGGCUGGUGGCUGCUCCACGGAAGCCUCCCCGUCUCUGCCCAGCACAAAGCGACUGGCCGUCCCGGGACGCUGACGCAGCACAGGCCGUUGGCUGGGGAGCCCCGCGAGUGCCCUGCGCGCUGGCCGCCGUCACUAGCGCCUUGGAGGGGCGGCGAGGCCGGUGGUUACACGGGCGCUCGCCUGCUGCCGACGCAGCGCGUCUGGAAAGCCACGUCCUGGCGGACCGGCUCCCCACUUGUUCAUUCUGCUGCGCCGGGUGGGACGUGCCUGGCCGGGCUCAAGGCAGCAGGGGGGUCUCACAAAGCAGUGGUGCUGCGCCGCCGGGCGAGGGUGCGGCCUGCCUCUUGGCUUCACUGUGCCUAGUGGAGCGGUAAUUUAUUUCUCCGGCGUAAGCCUUGUGUUGUCAUGAAACCCGGGGCCCAGUUCCCGCGGGCGCUUUCCUUGCUGCGCCAGCCCCCGGUAUGAGACCACCCGCAGCCCUGGCUCCUGAUCCCAGCAGCAGAGCCGCCCCAACUGGAGCUAGCCCGUCAGCAGGAGAGCAGCCAGGCCCAGCAGAGGCCGGAGCAGGUCCCAGAAGCUGUCAGCCCCGUGGAAUCCAGCGGUUCCCCCAGGCCACCCUGCCUGUGCUCCCCGGGCUCUCCAGCACGUCUGCUUUUAGGGAAACGUUUGUGCUGGCCGGCCCCAGCUUCCUUGCUGUCUCUGCAGCCAGCCCCCC